AGCGCAGACGGCGAAGCAAGUCUGAAGUGAAAUGCAUGGGCUCAACCCAUGAAUUGCUUUGGAAACUGUUUGGCUUGAGUGUCGGAGGGGUAAGCGGAAUUCCUAGUGUAGCGGUGAAAUGCGUAGAUAUUAGGAGGAACACCGGAGGCGAAGGCGGCUUACUGGACGACAACUGACGUUGAGGCUCGAAGGCGUGGGGAGCAAACA
rnacentral:rRNA from 1 species